UUUUUGUCUAGUAAUUUGAAUGUUGCAUUUGAAAGGGGAUGGUAAGAAAAUACACACUGCUGGGUGUUUGCUAAUGUUUUAAAGACCACUCCGAAAUAUUCACUCUGACAUUCUGGUUCUGCUUUGGAUGGCAUCAAGAGGGAUCGUAAUCAGUCCUUCAAUGACCAAUCAGCAUUCAUUAGCAGAAUGCUAGCAUGUUAUGGGCAACAACAACUCAACCUGUAAGAAAU